UUCUCUCUCUCAAAUAAAUAAAUAAAAUCUUAAAAAAAAAAAAAAGAAGAAGAAGAAGACUUCAGCUUCCAGGAAUUUUUAUCCAGAUACUUCCUAACUGUACCGUAUGGGCAGUUCCCCAUUCGUCUACCCCAGUUUCAAGCCAGUGACUCCUUGGGACCAGUUUCUAUAGCGAGCUGGCCCAGAGACCACUGGACCUCCUCUUUCUUCCUAAAUGUUGCUACUUAGAAUAUCUCAGUCUGUUCUUGGAAACUCCCUCACUGAAGUCUUCCAUGAAAGAGCGGACCGUGAUAAAUAUUUCCUGAACACCUGUGUGCUAGAUCUACGCUGGGCUUUGGAGAUGUAAGAGUGAUAAAGACACUAUUCCUUCCUGUAAUGGAGACUAGUAAGUAAAUAGCCAAUUAUUAAAUAGUAUUUUUAGUGCUGGAAUUGGGGCCCCUAAUUACUUUUUUACUUGUCUCCCAUUGCAUUGGAAACUCAUUAAGGGCAAGGACUGUGACUUAUUCACCCUUGUAUUCCCAGAAGCACUUAGUAAAUAUUUAUAAUGAAUAAAUCUACUUGAAACUAA